rnacentral:rRNA from 1 species
UACGGAGGAUGCGAGCGUUGUCCGGAUUUAUUGGGUUUAAAGGGUACGCAGGCGGCUUGCUAGGCGGGAGGUGAAAUGCCGGCGCUCAACGUCGGAAGUGCCUCUCGAACUGGUUAGCUGGAAUGACUCUGCCGUGGGAGGAAUGUGUAGUGUAGCGGUGAAAUGCUUAGAGAUUACACAGAACACCGAUUGCGAAGGCAUCUCACGAAGGGUUGAUUGACGCUGAGGCACGAAAGCGUGGGGAUCAAAC